rnacentral:snRNA from 1 species
AGCUUUGUGCAGUGGCUGUAUCAUAGCCAAUGAGGUUUGUCCAUGGCAUGAUUAUUGCUAAAAAUAAUUUUCUAAACUAAUGCCUAAUAAUUCUUUAUAUUUUGAUGAAAAA